GCACCCAUAGCUCAGCGAAUGAGAGCGGCUGGCUUCGAACCAGCAGGCCGGGAGUUUGAAUCUCUCUGGGUGCGCCC
rnacentral:tRNA from 1 species